ensembl:snRNA U6 U6 spliceosomal RNA
GUGCUCAUUUCGGCAGCACAUAUACUAAAAUUAGAACAAUACAGAUAAGAUUAGCAUGACCCCUGUGCAAGGAUGACAUGCAAAUUCAUGAAGCAUUCGAUAUUUUU